rnacentral:rRNA from 1 species
CUCAGUAACGCGUAGUCAACCUAACCUAUGGACGGAAAUAACCUCGGGAAACUGAGAAUAAUGUCCGAUAGAACACUAUACCUGGAAUGGUUUGUGUUCCAAAUGAUUUAUCGCCGUAGGAUGGGACUGCGGCCUAUCAGUUUGUUGGUGAGGUAAUGGCCCACCAAGACUAUUACAGGUACGGGCUCUGAGAGGAGUAGCCCGGAGAUGGGUACUGAGACACGGACCCAGGCCCUAUGGGGGGCAGCAGGGGAAAAAACUUUGGCAUGGGGCAAAGCACGACAAGGGGUAAUCCGAGUGGAUUGGGGCUAACGAAUCUUUUGGUAGUCUUAGAACCACUAACGAAUAAGGGGGGGGGAAGUUCUGGGGGCAGCCGGCCGCGGAAAACCAGCACCUCAAGUGGUCAGGAUGAUUAUUGGGGCUUAAAGCAUCCGGUAGCCGGUUCUGUAAGUUUUCGGUUAAAUCUGUCCGUUCAACGUACAGGCUGCCGGGAAUACUGCAGAGCUAGGGAGUGGGAGAGGUAGACGGUACUCGGAAGGAAGGGGUAAAAUCCUUUGAUCUUUUGAUGACCACCUGUGGCGAAGGCGGUCUACCAGAACACGUCCGACGGUGAGGGAUGAAAGCUGGGGGAGCAAACCGGAUUAGAUACCCGGGUAGUCCCAGCUGUAAACUAUGCAAACUCAGUGAUGCAUUGACUUGUGGUCAAUGCAGUGCUGCAGGGAAGCCGUUAAGUUUGCCGCCUGGGAAGUACGUACGCAAGUAUGAAACUUAAAGGAAUU